CCUACGGGCGGCAGCAGUGGGGAAUAUUGGACAAUGGGCGAAAGCCUGAUCCAGCCAUGCCGCGUGUGUGAAGAAGGCCUUCGGGUUGUAAAGCACUUUCAGUGGGGAAGAAAGCCUUGGGGCUAAUACCCUCGAGGAAGGACAUCACCCACAGAAGAAGCACCGGCUAACUCCGUGCCAGCAGCCGCGGUAAUACGGAGGGUGCGAGCGUUAAUCGGAAUUACUGGGCGUAAAGCGCGCGUAGGCGGUCUGAUAAGCCGGUUGUGAAAGCCCCGGGCUCAACCUGGGAACGGCAUCCGGAACUGUCAGGCUAGAGUGCAGGAGAGGAAGGUAGAAUUCCCGGUGUAGCGGGGAAAUGCGUAGAGAUCGGGAGGAAUACCAGUGGCGAAGGCGGCCUUCUGGACUGACACUGACGCUGAGGUGCGAAAGCGUGGGUAGCAAACAGGAUUAGAUACCCCUGUAGUC
rnacentral:rRNA from 1 species